AUUAAGGCCACUGAGGAUAGUGUCCCUAUUUUCCACGUGAACGUUUUGUCUGUGUCGUAUUAUAUAUAUUUUCUUGUUUGAUGGUAUGGUUACUUUCCAUAUUUCAACCGCUCUCUCUCUCUCUCUCUCUCUCUCUCUCUCUCUCUUACAAUGAGUGAGAUUAAGUACCCACCAUAUACUGGCUCGAGUUUACAACCGCUUUCUUUCGCUACCGGUUGUUCCCGAGUGUUGCCCUACUGUGCAGUUUCCUCCAACUUGUUUCUUUGUUUUGAUUUGUCUGUUAGCAACCGCGCUCGUCCGUUGGUAUAUGUAUCUUUGCACGUUCUUUGGUAUGUGUAUAUUCAAAAUGUACUUUUUAAGCAACAGUCUGCUAUAUCAUUCAUAUUGGUUUAAUAUGAUAAUUUUGAAAUAUCAUGCUUAUAAUGCAUGUCUUACUAAUUUCACCAUAAAUCUAAUUCACAAUUUUAUUCCAUUCCUUUUAUCGUCAAAAAUAGUGUUGUUUUUUUUUUCACUUUUACUGAUCUGUUAGAUACUAUUACAAUGAUAUUUGUUAAAUCAUUUAAAGUCAGAUUCCGAUUUUAAAAACCUGCCAUAUGUAUGAUAAUAAAUAUGUUAAUGUCAGUUUUUGCAUCAGUUAAUGCAGACAUCUUUAAUGUUUUGGUAGAUUUUUUUUAACAACUCCAAAGAAAACUUGGUACAUUCGUCAAUCUUAAUAUUUACUUUAGAAAAAAACGGGAUAAUAUAAAGGUUCACUUGAGUGAUUUUUAUAUAAUCAGCUGAUUUUCAUAAAUAUGAUGACCUUAAGGUGCUCAUCUUAGGAUAAAACAAGAUGAAAACUACAAUGGGAAAAGCAUGAACUCCCUUUGAAACAAAUAUGUAACCGCUGGUGAAAAAGAUCGGUUGUGUCUUAAGAUUCCACACUUCACUACUUAAAAGUUUGAAAUUGUGAAGAACGAAAUCAUGUAUAGCACGAUUUUUUACUUCACGACGUUUUGAUUAUUUUCAUCAAACGAUUCCGAAACUUUUUCCAAAAAAGAAGGUGCGAAGAACUGAUUUCAAACAUGAUUUCUAAAAUUUUAGGAAGUGGGUGUUACACAUUUCUUUACCUCUCAUUAAUAGACACACUCAAAUUGAGUCUGCUGUCGUUUUGCUUGCGUGUGCUCUUUUUCCAAAGUGUCUUCUAUAGAUUAUUUACAAAGUAUUUGCGCAGACCCAUUCGUAAGAAUGACUGUCUUGUUUUGUAAUUCUGAAUUUUGCGCUUCGAUUAACAUACACGUCAUGCCUGUUUGGUUAUCGCAUUGUAAUUAGUCAAUGUAAAAAGUGUUUGCUACAGAUGAUAGAAAACAUCUGGUGUAUAAUACAUCACAUCAGUAUGACAGCAAACUGUAUAUCAUAAUCAUUUUUUUAAAAAAGGCUACUGUUAAAUAACAACUCAUGAUGCUUAUACACUACUUGACAAGUAAAUAUUAGCAUUUGUUUCAUUUUAAAUAUCCAGCUAGUAUACUGCAACAUAGUUCAGUCGGGUAAAGUGCAGAUAGUAAUUGGAUAUAAGCAAAUUAUUAUGUGAGUUCGAAUCCUCAUGAGGAUUUGUUUUUCAGAUUUUUUUUUUGUUCUUCCUAUACGUUUUCAUUUUUGUAUUAAACUUCAAAACGGUAAAUUAUUUGAGUACUCAGGUUUAAACAGAAUAUAAUUAUAUUCAACGACAAAAAUGACAUUUUAUUCAAUGCCGCUCGAGGCUUUAAUAACUAUAGUAUCUAACUACUCCCGAUCCUGUUUACUCUACACAAACUUUCGUAAUUUACUUUAACCAUUUGCAAAGACUUCUGAGACAUUAUUUCUUUGAUAAAUAAAAUGGAUUAAUGUUUCGAUGCAGUGCGCUUAAAAAUAAAACAAUUCGACUUGUGAUGCUACAUGGAUAUUUUAUGUUUAUUUCAAGACGAAGAUAAUAUUAAAUUUCUAUUUUUAUGUUUGUUUAUUCAUGAAUGGGACACACAGCUACAUUCUUGAGAGAUGAUGGUACUUCGAAGAAGGAGAAAGUAGUUGUUACAAGCACAGAAGAAGUCUUCGAAACAGCUGUUGCCACUGUCGUUGCCGAUUUCUUCACGGGACAGAUAUCAUACAAAUUUCAGGAAACUGAUAUUGCUUUAGACGUACAUGUAAAUAUGUGUUAUGUGACUAACCUAAACACAAGAGAUUUUCAAACUCCUCGGGAGUUUAUAAAGACGCACACAUCUGAUCAGAUCACAUUUCCGACGAACAACAAAGCUGUGAGGAAGUACGAGGUAACUACCAUAUUUUGAAUAAUAAAGGUCUUGGACCUAACGCAGCCGAACUCUGCAAGGAAAACCAGUAUUCUUGUUGUGCGCGAAAUAACAGUUCUAGAGGCAACAACUUGAGAGAAAAAAUCAAAAUGGAAAAUCACAAUCAAUCUCGGCAUUAUCAAAUUUAAAGUGUCCCGGGAAAAAGAGAAUUAAGUAUCCACAAAGAAGCGGAAGUGUCUAAUUUUGUUACCUACAUAGACAUUGAAAUGUCUUCUAUUUUUGUAGUGUUCUGGCAAUUUUCAAUUGGUCUUCAUUCAGAUGAUUCAUUAUAUGUUGAUAUUAUAUAUAUGAUUAACACUAUGAUUUACAUCACCACAUUUUACUGAAAUUAAACCAUUGUAUAUGAUACUGACAGGUAGUAUGUAUAUUGCACAUAUUAAACUAUUACAGUUUUUA